rnacentral:lncRNA from 1 species
CGACCUCAUUAUUGCUACGGUAAAUGCUCGGGUCAAGGCCACCGUAAAGGGACGAUCCAGACAUGCCAUAAUUACCUCCACCUAGGUUGGACAUUGAAUAGCUAGUUUCUCCAACCGAAGGAUAAAUGUAAUGGGCAGUUGGAUCCAUCAUACCAGUGUAAUCAUUUCCAUAACCAUUACAGUUUCUUCCGAUCGGUAUAGCAUAUCUAUCGUUGUCUAUUCCGAGACCAUUACCACUAGAACUACCACCAUUGAUAUCCAUAGGCAUCCAUUUAUUUGGCGGUUGUCUUUGUUGUUGUGGUUGAUGUGCCUGUUGCGGUUGUUGCGUCUGCUGUGAUGGGGAGUUAUUUGAUCUCUCUCUUUCUGACUCUCGAUACUUCUCCAGAUAAAUCUAAUGGAACAAAAUACAUUCGAAAAGAGAUUUAAUUAAGAUAACGUCUGAUAGUUUGUGAAAUAUUUUGUUAAUUGUGAUCAAAUGAGACGAACCUUUAGAGGAAUAGUAUAUGAAUCAAAGUCGAGACGGUACAUGGACCAAAGAAGGUCAUCGCCGUUGAUAGUUUUACGUUUCUCACUGUGACACUUUUCAGACGCUUCGCCGGUGAUAAAACUAACAAACUCCGAUACACAUUCUUGAAUCGUUUCUUUGGCUUCUUUCGAGAUCUUGGCAUUUAUCGGUAAAGCUCUCUUCAUGAUCCGGCUCACAUUUGUUAUUGGAAGAAAUCGAUCAUUUCGGGAUGCAUCCCUUCCGGGAUUACUAUUAGAUGAACUCCCGACCAUUGAGUUAUUGGUUGCAAGCCCUCUUCAAUUCCGUUGUUCACGCCUUCAGAUGUUUCUCUGACCAUGUUUGUGAAAAGGAUUUAUAAGAAUGUUUAAGCCUAUUCCCAAAAUUCUUGUCCAACCAUAAAAUAGAAAUUUCAAUGUCCUCUGGCCACCAAUAGAUUUUUUUUAGCUAUCAAUAGUUUUCUUUAGCUAUCAACCACCUAAUUUUGAUGCAAUAUAGAUAUUAUUGACUAAUAAUCCAAAUUAUGUACUUGGUCGACACUAAUGUGUCAAACGAGCCGAGCUUUGGCAUAUUGAACCGGAUUCGGGCUCAACUCGUUAAGGAGUAAUCCAGGUUCGAACUCGCCGAGCCUGGUUUAGCCGAGCUCGUUAAUGAUUUGCCGAUACCGAGCCCUAGCCCGAGCCAAAGCCGAACUCAUCUAGUCGAAAUUUAUUUGACACCCUAGUUGACACUAAUCAUUUUGUCCAAUGUCUAUUAUGAAAUUCGGUCAUAUUUUCCGAGGCGGGUAUCGUGGCAAGACAUUCUCGAGUUUGGCCCAAUCUUCAUAGACCUAGAUUCACUCGAAACUCGAAAUUUUCUACGAAAAAACCGUCUUAAAAUAUAAAUAAAAUUAAUUUAACCAAUUACCCUCUAAUUAAUUUAAUUUCAUCAAUUAACCCAUUUUUAAUUUAUCUAAUUUACCCCUGCUUAUUUUUUUAGGGCAGGUUUUCUAUACUAAUUAAAAAAUAAAAUUUUGGCAUAACCUAUUCAUAUCGAUUAUAAAAACUUAUAAAAAUUCAAUACAUUCAUUCUAUACAAUAAUUAAUAUUCAAAUUAAAAAUAAACACAUUUAUUUAAUUAACAAUACAAAUUUCCAGAAAAUUAAUGAUUAUUUCAAUGUCCUACGACGAGGACACAUAUCAUUAAAUAUUUUUAAAAUGACUUCAUUGUCUAUAUUUUUAAAAACAGUUUUUUGAAUAUAUGUUAAUAAACAAUCAUUUAUCAAACUAUCACCAAAUUUAUAUAUUAAAUUUAUUUUAAUAUAUAAAAUAUAAAAUAUUUUAAUAUAUUAAAUAUUGAGAGGGGUAGAGGGAGUGGGGAAGAGAAUAUAUUAAAUAUUGUGAAAUUUUGUAUAUUAACCCUUGAAAAAUAUUAAUAUAUUGUGAAAAUUGCAUUUAACCCUCUAUAAAAAAUUUAUUACAUACAAAUCCUUAUUUUUCCCCCUAAAUUUCAAGGGGGCAAUUAUCCUUUUUUGCCACCCCUGGCUACGCCACUGCGCACCGACGUACGGCGCAUCUGAAAAUUAAAGUAUUUUUUUAUACCAUUUCCUUAAUACCAUUUGUUUUAACCUAGUCACCCAAUCCAUUGAUCCAAUUUGAGUACCUUCUAGCUAAGCCUGUAAAUUUUUUAAAAUUUAAUAUCUGAUAUUUAUGAUAUUACAGAAAAAUAAUGAAAAAUUUAAUAAUUAAAACAUAAAUGAUCCUAAAUAUAAAUAAAGGAUAACCUAAAUCUAUUGAUCUUGAAAGCUCAAUAAAAUUAUUCCUAUUCGAUUCAUCUUACAUAUAUAUUCAUUAAUUACUUUCCCAGUGAUGGUUGUUGUGGUGGUCCCAUUAUCGGUAACGUAUUAGAGAUAAUUCUGAUAUAUCGCGCUACUGAUAUCACCUCCCAUACUUUCAUUUUUAUCUGCUUCAUCUAUCUUACUAGAGAACAUCGCCAUUAAAUCAGUCCUGCUAUCACAUCUUUCCUGCAUUUUUGGAAACCUCUCUCCACCAUUCUUCAAACUUCCGACCUCAUUAUUGCUACCGUAAAUGCUUGGGUCAAGGCCAGCGUAAAGGGACGAUUCAGACAUGCCAUAAUUACCUCCACCUAGGUUGGACAUUGAAUAGCUAGUUUCUCCAACCGUAGGAUAAAUGUAAUGGGGCAGUUGGAUCCAUCAUAACAGUGUAAUCAUUUUCACAAUCAUUAUUUCUUCCGAUCGAUAUAGCAUAUCUAUCGUUGUCUAUUCCGAGACCAAAUACCACUAGAACUAGCACCAUUGAUAUCCAUACACAUCCGUUUAUUUGGCGAUUGUUGCGCAAGUGGGGUUGUCUUUGUUGUUGUGGUUGAUGUGCAUGUUGCGGUUGUUGCGUUUGCUGUGAUGGGGAGUUAUUUAGUCUCUCUCCUUCUGACUCUCGAUACUUCUCCAGAUAAAUCUAAUGGAACAAAAUACAUUCGAAAAGAGAUUUAAUUAAAAUAAUAUCU